UACGUAGGGUGCAAGCGUUGUCCGGAAUUAUUGGGCGUAAAGAGCUCGUAGGCGGUCUGUCGCGUCGGCUGUGAAAACCCGGGGCUCAACCCCGGGCCUGCAGUCGAUACGGGCAGACUAGAGUGCGGUAGGGGAGACUGGAAUUCCUGGUGUAGCGGUGAAAUGCGCAGAUAUCAGGAGGAACACCGGUGGCGAAGGCGGCUCGCUGGGCUCUACCUGACGCUGAGGCGCGAAAGCGUGGGGAGCGAACCGG
rnacentral:rRNA from 1 species